UUUGCUUGCUUUUCCUGAUUGCUUGAAUUGUUUUUUUUUUUUUUAUUGUUCUGCGAUAUUUGAACUGUAAUUCUCUCUUUCGUCUGUGCCCAUAUGACUGCUCAAGGUAAUUUAAUUAUUAACAUGUGGAUUAUUAAGGAUGGUUCUGUAGGCAAAGUGCAAAAGCACAUAGGCAAAGGAGACAGAUCAUUUUGCUGGAUCACGGCGCUCUUGAACCACAAAAUUCGUCGGGGUUCUUUCAAGCUAAUUUCAUAUAGGGUGUGAAUCCGAUAUGCUGCUAGUUUGCAAGAGCUAGUAGUGUGGCACCUGGAGAUGAAGCCUCGCUUCCGGGUGGGGGCGGAGAUGUGCCGGCGCCGGUGGUUGGGGUUGAUAGUGGCGGGAUCUGGCGGGACGGGAGGUCGGGCCAUCGGAAGUUUCACCGAUGAUGACCUCUACUCUUAAUUUAUAUCUCGAGCUUGAGUCCGUGUAUGACAAGUGGACGUCUUUGUUCAAGCCGCGUGAGGGAGGAGAUCUUUAGUAAUCGGUCAAUCUAUAUUCUCGAGAUUUUUUCUGCACAGGAGACUCUCUUAAUUCCCACACAUUGAAGUCCUUUAUUGAGCCCCACAGAGUGGAGAGUUUCUUUGGUUCAUACAUAAGCAAGCUCCGGACACAUGGACGAUUUGUGCUGUGAAUUCUGCAUCCGAUUGAGUUUUUUUUUUUUUUUUUUUGCUAAGCGUGGUUUUGGACUUAGUUUAGUUGUGGGAAACGCUUGAGUGUAUGAGAGAUUGUAAUUCUAAUUCUCCGAUUAUUAGUGGAUAACUUGCUGUUGGCUCUUCCCGUGGAGUAGGUACCGACACUCGGGACCGAACCACGUAAAUAUCUAGUGUCCUUUAUGGUUC